rnacentral:rRNA from 1 species
AUUGAACGCUGGCGGCAGGCCUAACACAUGCAAGUCGAGCGGUAGCACAGGAGAGCUUGCUCUCUGGGUGACGAGCGGCGGACGGGUGAGUAAUGUCUGGGAAACUGCCUGAUGGAGGGGGAUAACUACUGGAAGCGGUAGCUAAUACCGCAUAAUGUCGCAAGACCAAAGAGGGGGACCUUCGGGCCUCUUGCCAUCAGAUGUGCCCAGAUGGGAUUAGCUAGUAGGUGGGUUAACGGCUCACCUAGGCGACGAUCCCUAGCUGGUCUGAGAGGAUGACCAGCCACACUGGAACUGAGACACGGUCCAGACUCCUACGGGAGGCAGCAGUGGGGAAUAUUGCACAAUGGGCGCAAGCCUGAUGCAGCCAUGCCGCGUGUAUGAAGAAGGCCUUCGGGUUGUAAAGUACUUUCAGCGAGGAGGAAGGCAUUGUGGUUAAUAACCACAGUGAUUGACGUUACUCGCAGAAGAAGCACCGGCUAACUCCGUGCCAGCAGCCGCCGUAA